GCCCUCCCUCGCCGCCAUCAGACCUCCGUACGGGGGCAGCAGUGGGGAAUUUUGCGCAAUGGGGGAAACCCUGACGCAGCAACGCCGCGUGGAGGAUGAAGCCCCUUGGGGUGUAAACUCCUUUCGAUAGGGAAGAUAAUGACGGUACCUAUAGAAGAAGCACCGGCCAACUACGUGCCAGCAGCCGCGGUAAUUC
rnacentral:rRNA from 1 species